rnacentral:rRNA from 1 species
UACGGAGGGGGCUAGCGUUGUUCGGAAUUACUGGGCGUAAAAGCGCACGUAGGCGGACCAUCAAGUUGGGGGUGAAAUCCCGGGGCUCAACCCCCGGAACUGCCUCCAAAACUGCUGGUCUGGAGGUCGAGAGAGGUGAGUGGAAUUCCGAGUGUAGAGGUGAAAUUCGUAGAUAUUCGGAGGAACACCAGUGGCGAAGGCGGCUCACUGGCUCGAUACUGACGCUGAGGUGCGAAAGCGUGGGGAGCAAACAGG